rnacentral:lncRNA from 1 species
CCCCCCCCCAGCCUUUUAAAAAUGGCUGGAUCUGCCCCUGCAUGCUGGCACUAUAAAUUGAUGCGAACAAAUUUUUUUUCCAAAAUUACUGUAACUUGUAUAUUACAGUCCCUCUAGACCUAAAAUUAAAACUGAAAUACUGUGCAGCUAUAUAGAUUUGCAGAAAGAAAAAGCAAAUAAUGGCAGUUUAGAUUGAUGCGGUCAAAAGAUUUUUGUUAAACAGGUCGUUCGA